UAGUAUUAUUUUUGAUUGUAAUAUAGGAUGUGCUAAAUUACAUUAUAACAUUAAUGUUUAACGUUAAUGUUUCCUAAAAUAAUUUUUGUAAUAAUAGAAAAACAUCAAGUAUAUUUAAUGAAAUAGAAAAAAAAUUUUCUGUAUUUAUCACAUAAAUGUUGGCUAUUAAAGAAAAAAGAAUUCAGUAACAAUGAAACAAAAUUCGCACUACAGAUCACUCAAUAAUUUUGUUUCUUGCAAUACUAAAUUAUGGCAAUGGUAACUAUGAAUGUUUAGUUACAAUAAGUCGAAUUAGUACAUUCGCAGAAAGUUCGAUUUUCUAGUGUGUACAUCUAGACACAAAUACUUAUUGCUACUAUUAUAAAUGAUCUGAAGAACUAAGUGUACAUUAUUAACAUCACAAUAAUCUUAAUAUUUAUUAGACUAAGAAUAAAUUGCUUGCUACAAUAUAAGUUAUAGUUACGUUAACUUUAAACUGAUAGUAAUAAAAACUUUCCCUAAAGUAGUUAUGUUCAUUAUUGCUAUCUUAGUAUAUGUAACUAAAAAUAGUAAGAACGACUAUGUAGUCGUAGAGCACUUUACUGUGGCGUAUUAGUUACUGAAACUGACUUCAAUAGCUGAGUCGUCUGUGAACUACGAUUCCUUAGUUCAGAAAACCGUUUUUUUCUCUCAGUGUAUAAAGAAGUCCUAAAUCUUCUGUUGUAAUGCGUCGAAUACAUUACUUUUGAAUUAAUGAUUUUAAUACUAUACAUCUUUAAGCUCUUUAACAUUAAGCAUAUUUUUAUUAUUGAAUUCUAUUGGUAACAGUUCAAAAGAUUUAUCAAGAAUUAAUUCUAAUGAAAUUUUAAAAUCAAUUAGCUAUUCAUCAAUAUAUUGGCGUUCAAAGCCGUAAACGAUCAACAAAUUUUAUAACAUUAGCUUAAUGACCUGAUACUAAGUUUUAAACCAUGUCAAUGAUAAGAAUAUGUCGAACGACUAUGAGGCACUUAUAAUAUAUUGUAUGUGUCAUAUAUAUUCAAGACAUUCAAGGCAAAUUGUGUAUUAAAUUGUUGAUAUAGUGGAAAUAAAGCCUCGACAAAAUCUACUUACAAGAUCAACAUAUUUGAGAUUCCUCUCUUUGCAAUAAAUUACUGAGUUGCAUUAAUAAUUGCUAAGUCGUCACAAAAUUCAAUAACCAUAAAAAUGUGAAUAAAAAAUUUUUACAUCCGAUAUUCAAUAGAUUUAUUUCUUUUGAAUAAGAAAGUCGUACGACUUCAAUUUUGAUUCAAAGAAAUUGAUGUAAGGAUAUGAAAGAGGAUUUGCAUUCCUGCAGACAGAAAAAAAAGUAUUUUCUAUUUCAUUAAUCAUCGACAUCUCAACUUAUUUCGCAUCGUAUAUCAUUUUAUCAGAGUAUGGAACCAAAAGAAUAUGCAACCCAUAUAAAUGCUACAACAUGCUACAAAGUAUACUAUAUAGCAGUAACCACUUUUACCUCAAGGCUCUCAACUUUCGGCCGACAGUCAAGAACUUAGACAGCAUUGAAUUAGAAUAUAAGUAAAUCCUGAUUCACAGGUCUGCAAAUUCUCCACUUCAACAAAUAUAAAUGUACCUAAAUCUAUGCAUCUAAACUAUCUUUGCUUACGCUGUUUUCAUUUUCUGUUAAUUUUCAAAUGGAUAGUUAUUUAUAUGUAGAUAUAUACUGUAUAUAAUAUACAUAAAAUCAACUAAAAGAAUAACUUGAGAGUGAUGGAGCAAAACAAGUCAAGUAACACUUGACAAUUUUAAUGUAACAGAUGUCUAUCCGAUCGGUUGGGGUCUGUAACUCUACUAUUCGCUAUGCUCAAUAGCAACUGCCACAAACCACAAUACCACUGAACAGUGGCAGACUGUGUCUACCAAAGGGAGUUCAUGUCACACCGACUGAUCGGACUUUGGUCUAUUCUCCUUCGUGUUUAGUUAUAGUCAAUACUUGAUCAAUGAUCAUACACAAAUUUAAAUAAAAAUAGUAAAUAAAUAUUACGUGUAAUUUGAUCAAAAAAGAUUUCUAUAUGACAGUUUGAAUUGUCAAUUCCACUUGUCAAAUCAAAAAAUGCUUCUUAUUUAUCAAAAAUAAAUUCAAUAAAUCUAAUGAGCUUAUUUUAUCAAUAAAAUGUUAAAUAAAAAUUUUUAU